AACUGUUGCACUGGUUCACUAUCCGCCAUAUGAGGAGCGUCAUUCGAUGCUGCCGCAGUGUGAGCGCAGGAGCUGCAUGCGCACUCAACAAGCCCUAAAAAACGGAGAAAUCUGUGCGCUUUAGAGGCUAAGGACAUUAAUAGUAUAAUUAACAUUUAAUGCUCGUAACAGUAGGCCUAUAGCCAAUACACUUAAACAACGCGAAUACAAUCAAAUAUAAUCUAAAAUUAUUAGUAUUGCCACCAUCAGCAAUCUUAAUAGGCUAUGUUCGCAAUAUCCGUCAAGUGACACACGGCACGGGACUCCUGUACGCGCCGCACGCGCUAAAGAGUUCCGUGACACUGACGAACUGUUCACCAGCAGCAGGAGGAGAGGGAUGAGGGCAGCAUGGAUUACUCCCUCUCCACUGGGUUAAGAUGCUUACCAACUAAUUACCUUUCCAUCUGAAAAUCCCCGACCACGCAGCCCCAACAGACGGAGUGCUAGGAGAGAUCAAGAGAUAGAGGGACGGGGAGGCCGGUGGUGGAAAGAGGAGAGGAUGGGUGUUUGUGUUUCUUUUUUCAUUUCAGGAUGAGGAUGCUGUCCUUUGGGUGAUGUGGCCUUCGUUCAGGUAUAGAGCUAUUCCUCGAAGAGGGGGAGGUAGGGAGAGAGGGGUCUAUUGAUGAUUUCUUCCAGAAGUGGGAAGAGGAGCUCUGGGACCCAUUUGGAGCAUCUCAAAAAUCACUUAGUGCAUCAUUCCACACGGCUGUGAUCAAUCUUCGAGCUGGGUAGUGGGUCUGCAUGGCACAGAGAUGAAUGUCUGCCCCUUUCUCCAUGUCCCGAUAAGGGAUGUUUGUUGUAACCUGUUUGUUUUAACCCGAUGGACAGAAGGCAUGUGCAACGCAGCCCAUGAGGACAUGGAUAUAAGAAACUUGUUGCGGAUUUUAAGAUUUUAAGUCGUAGUAUUGAAUACAUGGCUAAUGCUGUGUUGAACGACAUGUUGGAACACAUUCUUUUAGAACACAUAGAGAAUAAUUAUUCUCUGUGUAGUGUGGAGUAAGGUCUGGUGUUCGAGUCAUGCAUUUCAUUCAAGCUCUGCCUUUCUGCCCCGUCCAUUCCCCUUUUGUUGAUCAGAAACAAGGUAGAAGAUGUAAGCAAUAAUUUGACUUGAGUUUCUAUCAUAUUUCUCUGACCUAUCCAAGUUCACAGGGGCGGGCGGCCUGUCCAUCUGGCAUUUUGGGUAAUGCCAGAUGGGCUGGUCAAUUUUUAGCCCAGUUGGACUGUCUAACUUGUGCCCCUCAAGGAACAAAAUGGGCUGGUGUGGGGGCCUCAAAGAAAAACAGAGUGGCUGUGGUUCUGGAUCUUCUGUAACCCGACUUUCUGUUUCUAAAAAUAAGACGUAGAUUUCUGCAUAUGCGGGAUCCACUAGCCUACCUCCUUUCAGCUGUUGUUCAGUAAUAAUGGGAAGUUCUUACCGACUCAGAACUUUUUGACUCAGUCAAAAGAAUGAAUCAUUCCAUUCCUUUGAUUCAGUAAUGCCCAGAGCAUGCAGGACCCCUACCGGCGAACGAUGAACUAAAAGCUCGAAGGAAUCAUGAUUGCACAAGUCUCUCAUUCCCCAUAGGAGGCUUAUUGGAGCUGCCAUUUGUGACUGAAACGUAUAAAACUGUGCUUCAUACAAUGUACAUUUGUGAUUGCUAAGCAUACAAAUACGAUUAUUCAUCGAUACAUUUGAAACAAGGUCUUGUUGCAGCCGGACUAGAUUGUGUGAACGACUCUUGGCGGAAUGCUUGACUGCCGCGAGGGAGAUCAGCAAUAUAUUGUUUACGAACUGCAGCAGCCCACCAAAACGAUUUUUAUGGAGUGUUGGGCAGAGUCAGGCUGUGUAUGUUUUGAUUCUACAAAGCUGUGUCCAUCGAAAAACAUUCAAUAAUCAAAUCAUUGCAUUCAUUCUGUCAGAAUGCGAUCACCUAUCAGUUCUAAACACAGUAUUUCCUUUUCUGCUGCCUGUAUUUGUCUGUGCUCACAUGAUAGACAGUUGGUAGACACGUAUUAGUCCUACUUUAGAAUUUUUUGGUGGCCAACAGGUCAAAAGAACGACUAAAAUGAACGAGUCACUCGGAAAAACGAAUCGUGACUCUCGAGUCAGUUAAAAGAGUAGUUCAAAAAGAACGGAUGGUUCACAAACUGCACAUCACUACUGCUCAGUGCUCAGUCACUCCGUGACGCCACUGCCGCUCGCACACAAGACAGGUAGUCAAUAGCAAUUUAAUGGUUUAAAAAAUAAAUAAUUAUAAUCAUUGCAAACAUAGGCUAAACAGGAGGGAGACUACAGUGCUGGUAAAAUGGCAGCAUAGCUAUAAAGAUUACAUCCCCACUCAAAAUGCUAAUUGUUUUGCCCCAAUGCAAUGUGUAGACUGCGUCUUGCUUGUGCAAUAUCAGUUACAGAGAAGGUUGUAGCCUUCAUAUAUAUUUUUGGAACGCUCAUUUUUGCAGUUGUUCAGAAAUAUGAGGCAGAGACAUAAGGCUGGUUUACAGUUGGUCGAUCGACAUGUCUGUAAACAGUUAUCGCAGUGACAUCAUGAACAUUCUAUUGUCAUCCGACAUCAAACUUGUUGUCGUCGUUAUGAGUAUAAAAGUAUAAACACAAAAUGACAACCUGUGCAUAACAUCAGCAUUCUGGUGUUCCAAAUAGAGUACUUGCUCUAUUUGAACACCAAUAAACCCAACAUUUAAAAAAUGAAUUUAAUAAAUGUCAACCUAGCAAGCCAGGCAACAAUGUUUUGGUUCAUUGUCAGCUAGCUGGCUAGCCAAUUAAAAUUUGGGCCAGAGUACAGCUGACAACAUCUUAACUUUAGCUGCUUUUUAUGAAUUAUUACAGGAAAAUAAACCAACGACCACAACACACCACAUUAUUCACAAGGUAAAAUUGCUUACGGUUGUGAGUUUAACAAAGGGUGUGUUGGUAAAUUCACUCUGGAGUGCCAGAGUGUGCUCAUAGUGCGCUCUGGGCAUUCUUAAACUCAGUAUUGUCAGAUUGUCCAUUUGUAAAUUCACUCUCGGAGAGUUCAGAGCGCACACUGGACGCUCUGGCUGAGGAGUAGGGUUGAUCCGAGAAUUUCUGACCACACAAUGGCAUUCAAGCUCCCAAUCUAACUGGUUAACGUUGGCUAGCUUGCUAGCUACUUCCAGACACAAAUGAGAGAACACCUCACUCUGACCAUUUAACUUGCCCUAGCACAGCUGGUUAGACUGUUUUCAUGUUAUCCAGAGCGUUGGUGACUGCAACAGUGCUGCUGGCAACCAUUUAAAUACGUUUUUUUGCUGACGUUUAGCGACACCGGCCAUAGUCAACGGGUGUUGAGCAUUCGUAAAUGAAUCAGUUAUUCUGCGCUCUGGCACACUCAGAUUAGAGUGCUCUGAAAUUGGAGUAGAUAGCCAGAGUGAAAUUACGAACACGGCCAAAAUAAAAGUAGGUAUUUUUUUCGGAGAAUUUUAGAACUCCUGUUGCCCUGCACCUUCUUGCCACAGAGGGAUUUAGUCUUGUUGCUGUAGCAGCCCAGUAACCACAACAACGGACAUUGCGACAGUCACAGAGACAUUCAUUUUUUUUCAUGUCUGUGCAACGAUGAAACCGAGUUGCAGCGACAGUCUACAGACAUUCCACCGGACUAUAAAUUAAAUGUAGUUUUGACCAGCGAUACUUGUCGCGUUCAAUUUGUCUACAGACAUGUCGUUAGACCAAGUAUAAACUGCUCUAUAGGCUACAUCAUCAUAUCGAUCAAAUUUGUUUGAGGGUUCAGAAGAGGGUGAGUGAAGAGAGAAACGUGAAUGUUUAUGUAAAAUAGCACAUGCACAGAACGUGGUUCGGAUCCUUAGUUUCGAGAAGUUUCCAGAGGGGUGUGGCAGAGGCGAAAACUCAGUAUGUGUUGCCUCGGCCAAGAAAAAAAAGGUCCGGAGUGUUUCAACUGACAAGACCGAUUUCUGAUCCCAGUCCGCCCCUGUGGAUCUGUGAUGGGAAUAAACAAAGACAGAAGGUAGGCAACAACUUCCUGGAUUGAAACACAGCUCUGCCAUGUUCUGUGUUUUGUCCUGCCCUGCACGGAUGUAGUAGGCUACCCAUGCAGCAUUCCCUGGUGCUGGGCUGAUGACUCCUCCUGUUCUGUGUAUGGCACUGGUAGAAUUCACUGUGAAGGCACACUAUCAGUGAAUUACCAUAGGGCCAUAAACAGAGUAGAGAAAUAACCAAAUUACCCAACAUGCAUCGCUGACACUGUCCCUUACCCUCUGCCCUCUUUACAUUCUAUACACCAACUGUGUAAAAUUCAGUGUUGAUGAAAGUCUAUGACCAUGAUUGUGUUCUAACAGCUGUGGUGAGACAAACAACUUGCUAUUCAUCCAACUAUUUUAGUUUUCUUCAGGCUGGUGCUGUUGUUUAAGACAUGGCCUCCACUCGUCUUCUUUUCCCAUUUUGGCACUAGCACAUUUUUGCUUCUGUAUAUAUCGGUUUGAGCAAUCAUGUGUAGUGCCAAUAUAGGAGGACACAGACACUCAACACUUGUCUUUUUGGUUUGUUUGAACGGAGGUUGUAUAGAACGUGGAAUAGUGAUACGUAGGUGAUAGGUCCUGUAAUCAAUGUGCAGUGUCAGUGAUUUGACAGAAGCUGAGGGUGGGAACAAUGACUUUGUUUCUUUAGAUUCAUGAGUACUUGAUCACAAUUUUUCUUUAUCUUUCCUACGGACAGUGAGAGAGACAGACAAAGAGAUAGGUAACUCCAGAGGGAAUGAAAAAGAGAGCGAGAGACCGCAGAGGAUGAUCUAUAGAUCAAUGGUCUUGGUCCUCUCCUAUAUCUCUGGUUGCUAUGGAGGUCUAUACUCUGUUCCAGAGGCCCUGAACGCUGUAACCCGAGCUGUAGUCUCAGACACAGACCUCAUGACUCACACAGAGCCUUAUGAUGCUCUCAGACUUAAUGCAUUCAAACCAUUCAAGUUCCAGGGGCUUCCUAGGAUGAUCAUUAUUAAUAACUCCUUUGUGACUUCUGGGCAAUUCUCCUGACCAAUAAUAAUCAACAGAAUGUGCUCCACCGGUGUAUUUAUGGUCGCCCCGCUCACCCCGGUUUUUGGCAAUGGUAGAACUCACACUGGUGGGAUAGAUGGAUCCGGUGGUUCUAGACUUGCCAACAACUGACUAAGAGCUUACCAGCCAGCCAGAUCCACCCGGCAACCACCCCCUUAAGCCAAGAUGUUGAUGGAGUUAAACGACAAGAAUGACAUUGCAGCCUUUGAUGGCCAGAGUUCUUUUAAACCUGAAACACGACAGGAGUGUCAGGUGAGCGUGACUAAUUGAGUGUUGAUUGGAUGAGGCAGAGAGAGGAGGGGUGUGUGUGACAGGUGUGUAAGUGACUGUGGGUGGAGCAGAGAGAGGGUUAAACAGACUGUCCCCUCCUGCACCCAUACAGUCUCAGAACACUCAUCACCAUGGAGGCUGGGAAGAACACAGCCAUAACUGAGGUUUUGUGGCCCACCUAAAGCCUUCUGGGGUUUAGACACACAGACAGACUUCUUCAGUGUGGCGGCCAAAUUAUGGGCAGAAGAACAAGCAUCACUCAUCCUCUUGUUUUGACUCUUCUCUCCCAUAGGUCCCAGGGUUCUCAGUAGCUGUGUGCCAUCCCCCCGGGGCAUCUGCGCUAUGAUUAGCUGAUUAUAACAUACACUCCCAGAGUAACCUUACACUUGACAGAGGAGUGUGUGUGAGUACGUCUCAGCAAUAGGGGCUGUAACAGAGAUCCAUACACACCUCCAUGAACCAUUUACCUCACUGGAAUGAGAAGUGCAUCCUACCGAGAUUUGCCUCAGUCAACGAAUCAGUCAAUCAAUUUGAUUGAUUCAUGUACUUUUCCAGUCGUAGGGAUGGUUUUGGCUGGGGCUCGAGAUGGAGCUGGAGUAUAGGGCUGGGGCUCGGCAGUGCGUGUAGUGGAGUAUGUAGCAGUGAUGUGCGGUGGAUUAGAGCCUGCGUUGUCCCUGCAACAGCAGAAGGGCCUGCUGUAAAUCCUGGGCUUUAACGGUAGCCACAGCCACCGCAGCUUAUGAUGCAACCAGCUCCCCCUCUACGGCACCACGAAAGGGGAGUGAGAGGGGAGGAGAGCAGGGGGUAGGUUGAGAAAGGAGAGGAGAAGAGAAUAGUAGGGUGCAAAGUGGUCUUGAUGAUGUCAUUUUGACACAAAUCAGCUUUCAAACACUGCAGUUCAUCAGGUUCAACACAGAAUGGGGAUGUUCACACACACACAUGCACGGAUGCACACACAAAUCCAUAGCACAUGGUUAAACUGGUGGCUAUAGUGAGAGGGCAGUGUGCUGCUGACACACUGACAUCUGCUGGUGGUGAUUAGACCAUGUAGCCAUGAUGGAGGGGAUCAAAGACACACACACACACAAAACCACCUCCACUUCAUCCUGUGACAGCUCUGUCUACUGGGUUUUGCUGUGCUUACUUCCUGCAGGAGACUGGUGUGCGGAGUAGUAGAGGUGGGAGGAGCUGGGAGGGUCGUCAGUGCUGAUGGGGCACACCUGUGAAAGCUCAGCAGUAGCAUGAGCCACUGCUUCCCCAUUCAGCAAGAGAAGCUUACCUUUGGUUUACCUUUGGCUUACCUUUGGUUGUUUCAUUGUGGCUUUGGCAGUUGACACCUAAUUUACUGACCUUCAUGCCUCAUCUGAUUAUUGUUUUGAGUGUUUACUUUAUUUAUGGAAUAAAUUCAUUUUGUUAAUC